AUUGAACGCUGGCGGCAUGCUUUACACAUGCAAGUCGAACGGUAACAGGGAGCUUGCUCCGCUGACGAGUGGCGAACGGGUGAGUAAUGCAUCGGAACGUACCCAGUCGUGGGGGAUAACGUAGCGAAAGUUACGCUAAUACCGCAUACGUCCUGAGGGAGAAAGCGGGGGGACCGUAAGGCCUCGCGCGAUUGGAGCGGCCGAUGUCGGAUUAGCUAGUUGGUAGGGUAAAGGCCUACCAAGGCGACGAUCCGUAGCGGGUCUGAGAGGAUGAUCCGCCACACUGGGACUGAGACACGGCCCAGACUCCUACGGGAGGCAGCAGUGGGGAAUUUUGGACAAUGGGCGAAAGCCUGAUCCAGCCAUGCCGCGUGAGUGAAGAAGGCCUCGGGUUG
rnacentral:rRNA from 1 species